rnacentral:rRNA from 1 species
CCUACGGGUGGCAGCAGUGGGGAAUAUUGGGCAAUGGACGCAACUCUGACCCAGCAACGCCGCGUGAAGGAAGAAGGUCUUCGGGUUGUAAACUUCUUUUAUAGGGGACGAAACAAGUGACGGUACCUAAGGAAUAAGCCACGGCUAACUACGUGCCAGCAGCCGCGGUAAUACGUAGGAGGCAAGCGUUAUCCGGAUUGACUGGGUGUAAAGGGCGCGUAGGCGGUUUGACAAGUCAGAAGUGAAACCCAGGGGCUCAACUCCGGAACUACUUUUAAAACUGUUGUACUUGAGUGCAGGAGGGGCAGUCGGAAUUCCGUGUGUAGCGGUGGAAUGCGUAGAUAUACGGAGGAACACCAGUGGCGAAGGCGGACUGCUAGACAUUAACUGACGCUGAGGCGCGAAAGCGUGGGGAGCAAACAGGAUUAGAUACCCGAGUAGUC